UCUAACCCUAAUCCCCAUUCUCUCCCCUCCCUCAGCCGCCACAGCAGCCUGCUCCCGAUUCCGGCGAUUCUGGCGGCUAUCCCCAGCAUGGAGCACACCGACGAGCUCCCCUCGCUCUGAUCCAUCCUCCUCUCCGGCAAGAUUAUCCCCUCUUAGCCUCUACCGCUGGCCCAAAACCCACACCCGUGCUAGGGUUUCGGCCACCGGCAUCGCCUUCAUCGUCGGCGCAUCUCCGGCGGCCUUUGACAGCUUUUCUCCAUCAUCUGCAGCGCUCCCACACGCGCUCUCGCCUCCUGAUGGUCAACCUCGAGCAGGGCGGCGCGGAGGACCUCCUCCUGCGGGAUCUACGGACGCGACGCAUGCUACGGCAUCGAUGCGGGAUGAGGGCCGGCACCUCGGCCUUGUCCUGCUCGAUGAUGUUUCCGGCGAACGCCGGUGCUUCUCCUCGUCCUUGACCUAAGGAGGAGCGUCGGGACAGCACAAGCUUGGCCCGCCCCUGAACAAUGGCCAUGACACCAGCGGCGUACAAGACGUCUCCUCCUCAACGUGGCUGUCCCCAACGAGCCCUCUUUGCUGGAGGAGGUGGAGCAGCAAGUCUGGCACCCCCUUGGCCCUUGCACCCUAUCCUACAUCGCCUGGACGAGCUCACUGAUGGCUGUGUCCUCCUUCCCUCCUAGCGUGAUAAUGGUUUAUGGUAGCAUUUUCAACAAAAAGACAUGUGUUCGCAUGCCUUUGUUGUGGACGAGCGGAUCUAUGGCCAGGAAUGCGGGAUGACCCUUGGUUGACGUCUGAGAAGCGUUGUGCGUCCCUUGAUGGGUGUGGUGCUGGUUGUAGAGUAGCAUAGUGUUCUCUGAGACAUGCUUGUAAAAUUAAACUUUUCUGGAUAUUUUUUUUGCUCAUGUAGAGAUGUAUUUUUAGUUCGGUAUGUCAUGCUUGUAAAAUUAAUCUUUUUUGGAUCCUUUUUUUGCUCCUGUACAGAUGCAUUUUCUGGUGUGUAUGUAAUUUUCUGUUUUUAAUGACACAAGCAUAUAUUUUCUGUUAAA